GGCAGGCUUAACACAUGCAAGUCGAACGGUAGCAGGAGAAAGCUUGCUUUCUUGCUGACGAGUGGCGGACGGGUGAGUAAUGCUUGGGAAUCUGGCUUAUGGAGGGGGAUAACGACGGGAAACUGUCGCUAAUACCGCGUAUUAUCGGAAGAUGAAAGUGCGGGACUGAGAGGCCGCAUGCCAUAGGAUGAGCCCAAGUGGGAUUAGGUAGUUGGUGGGGUAAAUGCCUACCAAGCCUGCGAUCUCUAGCUGGUCUGAGAGGAUGACCAGCCACACUGGAACUGAGACACGGUCCAGACUCCUACGGGAGGCAGCAGUGGGGAAUAUUGCGCAAUGGGGGGAACCCUGACGCAGCCAUGCCGCGUGAAUGAAGAAGGCCUUCGGGUUGUAAAGUUCUUUCGGUAUUGAGGAAGGUUGAUGUGUUAAUAGCACAUCAAAUUGACGUUAAAUACAGAAGAAGCACCGGCUAACUCCGUGCCAGCAGCCGCGGUAAUACGGAGGGUGCGAGCGUUAAUCGGAAUAACUGGGCGUAAAGGGCACGCAGGCGGUUAUUUAAGUGAGGUGUGAAAGCCCUGGGCUUAACCUAGGAAUUGCAUUUCAGACUGGGUAACUAGAGUACUUUAGGGAGGGGUAGAAUUCCACGUGUAGCGGUGAAAUGCGUAGAGAUGUGGAGGAAUACCGAAGGCGAAGGCAGCCCCUUGGAAUGUACUGACGCUC
rnacentral:rRNA from 1 species